CUUAUCGUUCACCCUAAGGAAACCCAGCGCCUAACGGUUUUCGUCACCCAGCUGACCUUCGAGUUCUUUCUUUUGUCCUACUCCAAACUCUUGUUUAACCUUCCACCCAACCCCUUCUCUCAGAUUUCGUACUAUUCUUGACCCCUCACUUCUCAGAACUUAAGUCUUACGGAUGAAGGGAAAAGAAGCUGUUUGAAGAAAGCUCUUAAAAGAAGAAAAAGCAAAAUUAAGAGACUUAUCAGAAGGAAAAGUGAAUGCAAGGUAAAAAAGAAACAAAGCACUAGCUCUCUUAAAAUAUUAUUCUUUGCUCCUAUACCCCA
rnacentral:lncRNA from 1 species